GACGAACGCUGGCGGCGUGCUUAACACAUGCAAGUCGAACGGAGUGGCGAACGGGUGAGUAACACGUGGGUGAACUGCCUUGCACUACGGGAUAAGCUGGGGAAACUGGGUCUAAUACCGGAUAGUGCAAGAUGAGCUCGCGGCCUAUCAGCUUGUUGGGGGGGUAAUGGCCUACCAAGGCGUCGAUGUGUCGCCGGCCGGCGAGGGGGUACGGCCACAGUGGGACUGAUAUACGGCCCAGACUCCUACUGGAGGCAUCGGUGGGGAAUAUUGCACAAGGGUCGGAAGCCUGAUGCAGCGAUGCUGCGUGGGGGAUGAAGGCCUUCGGGUUGUAAACUCCUUUCGACAGGGACGCGGUAUCUGUAUAAGAAGCACCGGCUAACUACGUGCCAGCAGCCGCGGUAAUUC
rnacentral:rRNA from 1 species